rnacentral:rRNA from 1 species
CGGCAGGCUUAACACAUGCAAGUCGAGGGGUAACAUUGUGCUUGCACAGAUGACGACCGGCGCACGGGUGCGUAACGCGUAUAGAACCUACCUUUUACAGAGGAAUAGCCUUUAGAAAUGAAGAUUAAUGCCUCAUAGUAUUGUAGACUGGCAUCAGUUUAUAAUUAAAGAUUUAUCGGUAAAAGAUGGCUAUGCGUCCUAUUAGUUAGUUGGUAAGGUAACGGCUUACCAAGACAGCGAUAGGUAGGGGUCCUGAGAGGGAGAUCCCCCACACUGGUACUGAGACACGGACCAGACUCCUACGGGAGGCAGCAGUGAGGAAUAUUGGACAAUGGAGGAGACUCUGAUCCAGCCAUGCCGCGUGUAGGAAGAAUGCCCUAUGGGUUGUAAACUACUUUUAUACAGGAAGAAACACUGGUAUGUAUACCAGCUUGACGGUACUGUAAGAAUAAGGACCGGCUA